GCCAUAGUGCCUUCCCACGAUAAGUAGUCAAGCCGUUUGCAAACAGCUAGACAAAUUAUUUGGGGUCCACCAGGCUGCCUCUUCUUCUUUCCCUGGAAUUGCACUGAGCUAGCCUGGUGGUGCAGGGAGACGCUCAUUGACUGAGAACGUUCACGUGACACAAUCUCAGCCAAUAAGCUGCAUGGCAGGGCUUAGCUUAUUGGAGCUAAUAGAAGCACCAUGAAUGAACUAUCAGCUCUGAACUAUCAGCUCUACUAGAGGCUGUGACUGGAGCCUAGAG